AACUCCCAUGUACGGCAUGUACCGUUUGUUCAAAUAAUUUGAAUGAUUGUGAUUUCAUGUCUGUUCAGAAAGGUUUUUGAAUCGCUGAUAUUACAUUAAGUGAACCCAAUUUAGAGAGCUACGACUUAUAUAUUUGGACUACACUAUGUCUCAAAUAUCUUUGCGACAAUUACGUCGCGGUCCAACCACUACUCUAAUCUUUACAAUUCUACAGUUGAAUGGGGAGCCUUAUACAAUAUCAUAUGAUAAAACGAUUACCAUUGAUAACUUAAUUGAGGCUUCUGUAAAAUUUGAGGACUUCAAAUGCACGUUUCUAUUUCUACCAUAUGUAAGAAUGAAACAAAUGGAAGGUGUAAAAAAUUCUUCAGUCCCUAUUACAAUCCAAUGUGGGACAUUUAAAGAAUUGUUUUUUUGCUCUGCCCAAUGGAUUGAAGUACAGUUGAAAGCAGUGCUGCCUAUUUCAAUUGAAAAAACGAAUUUUAAUUGCGACACAAUAAUUCAACUUGUUACACAAUUGAAAUCAAUGCUACUGUGCAAGUCAUAACGCCAACAGCUUUUCUGCCAAGAAAAGAACUCUAUGAAGAUACAGAGUCCACAGAUUUUCAACUGCACACAAAAGAUGGCACUGUGGCAGUACACAAGGCAGUACUGUUCCUUCAUAGUGACAUGUUCAAAAUGAUGUUGACGAAGGACUGGAAGGAAUCAAACGAAGGUCAGAUUAGUAUGGACGGUAUCACUGUCCAGACACUUAGACACCUAAAGGACUACAUGUACUUGGGUAUUCUGCCAGAAGAAGGCUUGGAGCCACUACUGCAAGUUGCUGCACACUACUUCAUGGACAAGCUGAGAGCUGAUUGCUCGGCUAAGCUAGUAGAAUCGGUGAAUUCAGGGAACAUUGAUAGGCUUAUUGCUCUGGGUUGCGAGUUUAAUAUACCUGAAUUGAUGCGAGGUCUAAUAUUUAGAAUUCCAGACAAUGUUAUUAAUGAUAUGAAUUAUUUUAAGGAAAUUGUUAAGGAAAAGAAUUAAAUGAGUUCAUAUUUCUUUUGAAAAAUUAAAUGAAUGAUAGUUAUUUUUUCUGUAAUAUGUUGUGAGAUGUCAUCAUCAUCAUUUCUACUUCUUCGAGUAUGCCACUUAUUCGGGUCCUGAGCUAAUUUCAUCCAGUGAAAUGUAUAGGAUACUUAAUAUCAUAAGGUAGGUAGGUAACUUUUUCUAAUUGCUAAAAUUAAUUUAAAGAGCAUGAAUUAUAGUUCGUUUUUUUAUCAUUAAAAAAGGGUUGCCCAAACUUA